CUACAGAGGGUGCGAGCGUUAAUCGGAAUUACUGGGCGUAAAGCGCGCGUAGGCGGCUUGGUCAGUCGGAUGUGAAAGCCCCGGGCUCAACCUGGGAAUGGCAUUCGAUACUGCCAGGCUAGAGUAUGGGAGAGGGAAGUGGAAUUUCCGGUGUAGCGGUGAAAUGCGUAGAUAUCGGAAGGAACACCAGUGGCGAAGGCGACUUCCUGGCCCAAUACUGACGCUGAGGUGCGAAAGCGUGGGGAGCGAACAGGAUUAGAUACCCCAGUAGUCC
rnacentral:rRNA from 1 species